CCGCCAUAUGGAGCGGUUCUCCAACUGGCUGCCGGACCCUCAGCGAGGCGAGGGACGAGUUUUCCAAGCUUGGUCUCCUUCGGGGCGUACGCAUCCCGUUUACCUACAGGAUACUUUGGGUUUUGCUUCAGACCGAAUUCCUGGAAGUGUCGUUUCGCCUGGCCAAACCACUUCGGAGGAGUCCUGCGUGCUUUCCCCUUUUUGCUGGAGUUUGCCAUGGGAAGGCAAUCUACGACUCCCUGUCUCUUAAUGUCCCACUUGGGAUCCACAGGGGUAGCCUGCCACGACUUGUGUUUGGGUCCCAAUGGCGGUCCUUAUCAUGGCUGUCCCCAUUGUCUGGCUGAGUUGCCCUCUCAGGGUAGGAUCGUAUGGGGCCAUUCACGUCCUAUGUCAGCUAGUGGAC